GCUUUGAGUAUCCGACUCGCCACCACACAGGUUCAACAAAAUGGAAAGCGCCAACAAGGUCUAAUAGCUCUGGAAUGAGAGCACCCAACGCAGCAAGCAUAGCCCAACGUGCAUGCAAAAUUUCAAAACUGCAAUAUCUCUUGAAAGCUACAGGAUCUUGACUGAGGCCUGCAAUAUCAAACCCGUAAUCACCAGGUAGAUCACCGUCAAGAUAGGUAGGAUACUCAAAUGGGAUGGGGCCAAGCCACCGAGGCCUUUCUUCUCCAUAC
rnacentral:lncRNA from 1 species